rnacentral:rRNA from 1 species
AACUAAUCCCAUCACUAUCAAAGAACCCUUAAAUAAUACUGAACAAUUCUAUAUUAUUAUAGAAGAUUUUAUGUUAAAACUAGUAACAAGAAGAAGAACUUCUCCUACGAUGCAAGUAUAAAUCAGACAGGACACCCCACUGAUAAUUAGCGUCCAUGAACAAAAAUAGCAACCAAGCAAGAAAACCCUAUUAAACCAUACGUUAACCUAACACUAGAGCAUUUCAAGAAAGAUUAAAAGAAAAAGARGGAACUCGGCAAAUAUUAACCUCGCCUGUUUACCAAAAACAUCGCCUCUUGAAUAAAUAUAAGAGGUCCAGCCUGCCCAGUGACCAUGUUCAACGGCCGCGGUAUCCUAACCGUGCGAAGGUAGCGUAAUCACUUGUUCUUUAAAUAAGGACUAGUAUGAACGGCACCACGAAGGUUACACUGUCUCCUAUUUCUAAUCAGUGAAACUAAUCUCCCCGUGAAGAAGCGGGGAUAAAUAUAUAAGACGAGAAGACCCUAUGGAGCUUUAAACUACAAGGCACCUGCUUAAUACAACUAAAUUUCAGAAAACACUCCUACUCAAGCAAGAUGACCUUAGUUUUAGGUUGGGGUGACCGCGGAGAAAAAAAMAACCUCCACAUUGAAAGGAGUCCUACUCCUUAACCAAGAGCCACACCUCUACGUACCAACAAAAAGACAUUAAUUGACCCAAUAUUUUGAUCAACGAACCAAGUUACCCUAGGGAUAACAGCGCAAUCCACUUCAAGAGCCCCUAUCGACAAGUGGGUUUACGACCUCGAUGUUGGAUCAGGGUAUCCAGGUGGUGCAGCCGCUACCAAAG